CGGCACUGCACUCUAGCCUGGGCGACAGAGUGAAACUCUGUCUCAAAACAAAACAAAAAAACCCACCACAAGCCGUGAUGACAAGUGGAGAUGAUGCUCUAAAGCCAGGAGAUGGAAGCCACACACGAUCAGGACAGGAAUCUCAGAUCUGUUUCUUCCCCAGAACCUGGAGCAAAGCAGGUGCUCAAGAAAUGUGUGUGACCAGGCGCGGUGGCACACACCUACAAUCGCAACUGCUUGGGAGGCUGAGACAGGAGGAUCGCUUGAGCCCAGGAGGUCAAGGUUGCAGUGAGCCGUGAUGACACCACUGCACUCCAGCCUGGGCGACAUAGUGAGACUCAGGAAAAAAAAAAAAAAGAAAGAAAAGGCAAGACAGACUGACAGAGAAAAAGAAAUAUGUACAACGGCACGAGACCGAGGCUUCCGAGAUGGAGAGACCUCUGGGGAAAUAGGUUUUUCACAGCAGAGGGAAGAAGGGCCGGGACCUGAGCCUGCCCCCACUCCUUCGUCCUUCCAAAAUUCCCCUGGAUUAUUGGCUGAUUUAUUUCCCAAUAUCCCCUAUGAGGCAGAGCGGUGAAGGCUUCCUUUUCUGGGACUAAAUGAAUAUGGGGAUGAAUACGUCUGGGUCAACAAACACACAAAAACCAACAGCUAGGAACUUGUGGAUUUCAGGAUAAAAUGACAUCUAUGGAGAAACGCCUGAUACAGCCGUUCUUAUUUUUCCACUAAAUACCCAGGAAGGCAGAGAAAAAGAUGAAACCUCAGUUGGUUUGGAAACAGAGAUGGCUGCCAAACUCAUACCAGAAGCUGGGAGGAGUUUCUACUAAUGAUCACGGCAGAGGACAAUGUUGGAGAGAAACUUGUGACUCAGGGACCAGGGAUGAAGGUAGAAACAUUGAAUUGCCAGUAUGAGAGUCUCCAACUCUUCUUCCCUUGCCUCAGCAAGCAUGAGACCACCUGCUACGCAGAAGGACCAUGCCGACCACAUCACAGCUGUCUGCCUGGAGCCACAGGCGACUUGGUAUGAGCAGGAAAUAAACUUCUCUCAAGCUGUGAGGUUUUGACAUUAUUUGUUACUGCAGCACAAUCUAGCUUAUCCUGAAUAAUUCAAUGACAAAGAACAUCUAUCUCAGGCCAAGAGUCAACAUCUCAUUUAACAUUAAAAUACUGGAAGCAGCCGGGUGCGGUGGCUCACACCUGUAAUCCCAGCACUUUGGGAGGCUGAGGCGGGCGGAUCAUGAGAUCAAGAGAUCAUCAACAUAGUGAGACCCCCAUCUCCACUAAAAAUACAAAAAUUAGCUGGGCUUGGUGGCGCAUGCCUGUAGUCCCAGCUACUCGGGAGGCUGAGGCAGAAGAAUUGCUUGAACCAGGUAGGCGGAGGUUGCAGUGAGCCAAGGUUGCGCCACUGUACUCCAGCCUGGGCG
rnacentral:lncRNA from 1 species